CUGAUGCACUACUUAUAUGGAUA
rnacentral:siRNA from 1 species